GGACUACUGGGGUAUCUAAUCCCGUUCGCUCCCCUGGCUUUCGUGUCUCAGCGUCAGCGCAGCCCCAGCGAGCUGUUUUCACCUUCGGCGUUCCAGACGAUAUCUACGCAUUUCACCGCUCCACCGUCUGUUCCGCUCGCCCCUAGCUGGCUCAAGACAACCAGUAUACCCAGCAGUUCCACGGUUGAGCCGUGGGAUUUCACAAGGUACUUGAUCGCCCGCCUACACACGCUUUAAGCCCAGUGAUUCCGCCUAACGCUUGGCACCUCUGUCUUACCGCGGCUGCUGGCAC
rnacentral:rRNA from 1 species